GAUGAACGCUGACAGAAUGCUUAACACAUGCAAGUCAACUGUGGCGGACGGGUGAGUAACGCGUAAAGAACUUGCCUCACAGCUAGGGACAACAUUUGGAAACGAAUGCUCAUACCUGAUACUGUGAGAGAGCUUUGCGUCCCAUUAGCUAGUUGGAGAGGUAACGGCUCACCAAGGCGAGGCUGGGUAGCCGGCCUGGGAGGGUGAUCGGCCACAAGGGGACUGAGACAGGACCCUUACGCAUAAGGGAAGCAGCAGUGGAGAAUAUAGGACAAUGGGCCAAAGUAUGAUCAAGCAAUUCUGUGUGCACAAUAAAGUUUUCGGAAUGUAAAGUGUGUUCAGUAGGGAAGCGGUACCAACAGAAGAAGUAACGGCUAAAUACGUGCCAGCAGCCGCGGUAAUUC
rnacentral:rRNA from 1 species